rnacentral:misc_RNA from 1 species
AGGUUGUUGAUCGUAUUAAGAAGUACUUCGACAUUUUGGGAGGACCUGCAACCUUCAUCCAGGCAGCAGUACCUUGCAUUCUUGAGCAAACAGAUGAAGUUUUUUUCAAGAAAACCAUCAAUAUACUGAAGCAGGCAUCAGAGAUUUGUUGUGAUAGGAUAAAGGAGAUCCCUUGCAUCACUUGUCCGCACGAGCCUCAGGGAUCUAU